AUUAUAGAACGUGGGGAGCAUGAGAAAUACACGGAGGUGGAAACGCCGGAGUGGCUGGCGGGUAAAGGCAGCGGGCGCAGAUGAAGCGGGCUGGGCGUCCCACGCGCAGAACCGUCCCGGACAGAAGCCGCAGGGCUGCGCUGGCUGGAAAAAGGAACGCGAGUACAGCGCGCGUGGCGCGGGGUCUGCUCCAGGACGGAAUCUUUUGGGUGGCCCGCAUGAGGGGUUUGCAGGACCCCGGGCCUUUGGGAAGUUAUCUGCUAAACUCCAGUAGACCCUGAGGAGCAGCGGCUCAUGAAUCUUCUUAAACUUCUGUCAUCAGCGGCUGGGCCAGCUGAAGGUGACCAUGGCACACGAGGGAGAGAGAAGCCCGCGAGAGGCGGAGAAAUGUGGGGUCGUCCAGGAGGGUCGACAAGGCAAAGAACCUGAAGACGACCCAAAAGGGUACCUAGGUUGAACCUGCACCAGUCAUCCAAAGCAGUGACCCAACGCUUAUCUUUAUCUUUUUGCUGUUUUAUGCCAUCGCCACAAUAUGCUUCAGCUUUAUGGUUAGCACUUUCUUCAGUAGAGAGCCGAUGAUGAGCACCCCACCUCCUGCCAGAGAGCUCCUGCAGCCACAGCCGCAGCCGCAGGCCCUGCACUACGCGCUGGCCAACGUGCAGCAGGUGCAGAUCCACCAGAUCGGAGAAGACGGACAGGUGCAAGUAGGACACCUCCACAUCGCCAAGGUGCCGCAGGGGGAGCAAGUCCAGAUCACGCAGGACAGCGAGGGCAACCUCCAGAUCCAUCACGUGGGGCAGGAUGGUCAGUACUUUUUAUGAAGACUGGUCUUUUGUGAUGGAUGAAGAGAGGUCCAGUAUGCUUCCUACCAUGGCAGCAGGUCCGAACUCCAUACUCUUUGCGAUUAACAUUGACAACAAGGAUUUGAACGGGCAGAGUAAGUUUGCUCCCACCGUUUCAGACCUCUUAAAGGAGUCAACGCAGAAUGUGACCUUGCUGAAGGAGUCCACGCAAGGAGUGAGCAGCGUGUUCAGGGAGAUCACAGCCUCCUCUGCCAUCUCCAUCCUCAUCAAACCUGAACAGGAGACCGACCCCUUGCCCGUCGUGUCCAGGAAUGUCAGUGCUGAUGCCAAAUGCAAAAAGGAGCGGAAGAAGAAAAAGCAAGUGACCAACAUUAACUCAUUUGAUGAUGAGGAAGAUGAGCAGAACUCUGGGGACAUGUUUAAAAAGACACCUGGGGCAGGGGAGAGCUCAGAGGACAACUCCGACCGCUCCUCUGUCAAUAUCAUGUCCGCCUUUGAAAGCCCCUUCGGGCCAAACUCCAAUGGAAGUCAGAGCAGCAACUCGUGGAAAAUUGAUUCCCUGUCUUUGAACAGGGAGUUUGGGUACCAGAAGCUUGAUGUGAAAAGCAUCGAUGAUGAAGAUGUGGAUGAAAACGAAGAUGACGUGUAUGGAAACUCAUCAGGACGGAAGCACAGGGGCCACUCAGAGUCGCCCGAGAAAAACGGAGCACACUCUGUCACCCAGGCUGGAGUGCAAUGGCACGAUCUCAGCUCACUACAACCUCUGCCUCCCGGGUUCAAGUGAUUCUACUGCCUCAGCCUCCCAAGUAGCUGGGAUUACAGGCGCCUGCCACCACACCCAGCUAAUUUUUGCAUUUUUAGUAGAGAAAGGGUUUCGCCAUGUUGGCCAGGCUGGUCUUGAACUCCUGACUUCAGGUGAUCCUCCUCGCCUGCCUUGCCUCCCAAAGUGCUGGGAUUACAGGCAUGAGCCACCACGCCCGGCCCUGCCUCUUGAGCUGGGGAGUUCAAGACCAGCCUGGGCAACAUAAUGAGAUUUCAGCUCUAUUAAAAAUAAUAAUAAUUAAAAAAAAAAAAGAAUGGCCCUACCUUUCACUGGCAGGGAAGGGUGGAGGGCCCUCCUGUCAUCUCCAAAUCAUAGUACUGUCCCCACCAGCCAUAGCUGAUCAUUUUAGGAGUGGUUCCAAGGAGUCCCAAGCUGGGCCCAUUACAGCCUCUCCUGGAGGGUUACAAUUGGAUGAGAAGCCAAUCGAUAUCCUCUAUAAUUAAAAAUAUAAGAACUUAGGAGUCAUGGGGCAGCUGUGUUUAGUUGAAAGCCUAGAGAAGCAGAGAGAGUCCAUGUGUUUGUUACUUACGGUAAUGCUGGCUGCUGGAACAGAUAAGCCCCGAAAUCUCUGUGGCUUAACAUCACAGAAGUUUAUUACCUGCUCAGAUAACAGUCUAAGGCAGAUGUGCCACAUGGCGAUUCAGGGACUGCUACCUUGUGGUUCUGCUGUCUCUCGGGGCCUCGGCUGGUAGAUAGCAAACAAUGCAGACAGGAGAAGACAGAUCCAUGAUCUUAACCAUCUCAGCCCCAGACAGGGGACCGCGUCAUUUCCACCCACCUUCCAUCAGCAAGAACCAGUCACAUGAGCACAUCUAACAGCAAUGAAGGCUGGGAAAUACGUGCCCAGGAAGGGAGGAAUCAGUUUCUUUGCAGAGGAGAGAGGGAACAGAAGAGAGGGAAAGGGGGAAAAUAGAGAGACGGAGGGAGAGAAAGAGAGAAGAACUAAUGAGCACAGAACUAAGAAAGCCCAGGCACAGUGGCUCACAUCAGUAAUUCUAGGGCCUUGGGAGGCAAGACAAGAGAAUCACUUGAGGCCAUGAGUUCAAGGGCAGCCUAGGCAACAUAGUGGGACCCUAUCUCCACAAAAAUAAUAAUAUUAUUAUUAUUAAAUAAAAUAAAAGGAAGAGACAGCCAUGAAGAUAACUAGCUGAGGCCAGGUACAGUGGCUCAUGCCUAUAAUCCCAACACUUUGGGAGGUUGAGGUGGACAGAUUGCUUGAGGUCAGAAGUUCCAGACCAGACUGAAUAACAUAGCAAAACCCCAUCCCUACUAAAAAUACAAAAAUUAGCUGGGCGUGGUGGCAGGCACCUGUAGUCCCAGCUACUCG
rnacentral:lncRNA from 1 species